GCCGUCAGUAUCUUAGAAAAUGAAUGUACAUGAAAUCUUGGUGGCGGUGGGGGAGGCUCGUACACUAUGUUCUCGUCUUGAUUUGGCUCAGGAAGCAGUGUCACUUGGGCAAACACCUCAUCAGUAUUUGGAUCAACCUUCAAUUGGACGUUGAUCACUCGACAGAGGAUCUUCCAUGGAAGAUUAUAAUUUGGUAUUUGCUGUCCUACUGCUUGAUUUUCAGAGGCCUCUACCU
rnacentral:misc_RNA from 1 species